rnacentral:lncRNA from 1 species
GUGCCCUGUCAGCCCUGGAUGAGAGGCGGGGGUUUCUGCGUCCUCGGCAGAAGGCUGCUGCGUUUCACAGGCAACUCAAAUCCCGAGGCACUGCUUAAAUGGGGCUUGUUUCCCGUCCUCCAGUACACUCUGGAAAGCACUAGCCUUACAUAAUUUAAGUUAGCCUGUUGCCACAUUACUAGUGUGACCUGUGUGGUUUCGUUUCUUUGCGUGCUUUACGUGCUUCUGCUGCAAGCCCCAGUUCAGAGGUUCCUAAGCUCAGAUUCACGUGGAGAGCUUUACAAAAUCCCGAAGCCUAGAGGAUACUUGGACCACUUAAAUCACAAUUUCUGGGGGUAGGAAACAGGCAUCAGUAUUUUUGGAAACUUCCUAGGUGAUUUCAAUGCGCAGAAAAGUUUGGGAACCACUAUCCUGGCACAGUAGUGCGCACCUGUAGUCCCAGGUACGCGGGCGAAUCGCUUGAGCCCAGAGUGAGACCCCGAGCUCUAAAAGAAUAAAUACAGAUGUCUCCCCAUCCUACCCUUCCCCACCCCGGCAAACUGACCAGGUGGUUGGAAAAAAAAAAAAAAAAAAAGGAAAAGUUUGGGAACACUGCCCUAGAGCCUUGAUGACCUACUUGAAACAAAUCUCCAGGUGAUUCAGUGCAUAUCAAAACCUGAGAAGCACUUUUGAGAGGCCUGAAUGAAUAUGAGUAUCUUAGUUUAUGAGGACCACAUGCCUAAAAAAUGUCCUUGGAUACAGAUAACUGGCAGGAUGACUUGGGGGAUGUUCGCCAGAUCCAUAUUUUUCACAUCCUGCAUUAUUCCGAAUCAUUAAGCCCUUGUCGGAAUGUGAUGAACAGGUCCCUGCACAGCAGUGCAGUUCUGGAAACAAGCCAGGGCUUAACAUCAGUGCUUAUGAACUGAGUAUUCCAGUUCAUAAACACUCCUUUGCCUCAGUCUGCUCAUCUUGAAAGUGGGAAAGUUGAUAACGCCUGUGUCAUCCUCCGUCUCAAGAUAACGGGGCUGUGAGAGUGUCUAUGCCUUGGGUCCACCUGUUGCUUUCUUCAUUUGCCACUCUAGCCCCUGUCCAUGGAUGGGAGAAUUCUACACUCAUCCCUCCCACAACUCCGGAAUUCUAAAAUGGUUUCUCUUGCGCCAGUUCUGGUUUUCUCCUCCCCAUGCCUCAUGCCCAGGGCCAGGGUGCACGGUAAAUCUCUGAGAUCCUCCUUUCUUUUGGCCUUUCUUGGCCACUGACCCCAUGCAGCAUAGCCAUACUCAUGGCUUCCCCCUGCCUUCCUGACUUGUCCUGUCUCCUUGGACAAUCGUUCUUCCACCUUUUUAGGUUGGUGCUUAGCCCUGUGCGCUGAUGUAUUAUAGCAGGCGAGCGCUGGCUUUCAGCCUCAAUCCCCUGACGUUGAAUUCCAACUCUAAAUUUACUAACUAGGAUUUUGGAUAAGGGCUCUUUGAG